rnacentral:rRNA from 1 species
AUAAAAAACCAAUGCCCUUCGGGGCUCUCUGGUGAUUCAUAAUAACUUCUCGAAUCGCUCGGCCUUGCGCCGGCGAUGGUUCAUUCAAAUUUCUGCCCUAUCAACUUUCGACGGCUGGGUCUUGGCCAGCCGUGGUGACAACGGGUAACGGAGGGUUAGGGCUCGACCCCGGAGAAGGAGCCUGAGAAACGGCUACUACAUCCAAGGAAGGCAGCAGGCGCGCAAAUUACCCAAUCCCGACACGGGGAGGUAGUGACAAUAAAUGCUGAUACAGGGCUCUUUCGGGUCUUGUAAUUGGAAUGAGUACAAUUUAAAUCCCUUAACGAGGAACAAUUGGAGGGCAAGUCUGGUGCCAGCAGCCGCGGUAAUUCCAGCUCCAAUAGCGUAUAUUAAAGUUGUUGAGGUUAAAAAGCUCGUAGUUGAACCUUGGGCCUAGCCGGCCGGUCCGCCUCACCGCGUGCACUGGCUCGGCUGGGUCUUUCCUUCUGGAGAACCGCAUGCCCUUCACUGGGUGUGCC